UACGUAGGGCGCAAGCGUUGUCCGGAAUUAUUGGGCGUAAAGAGCUCGUAGGCGGUCUGUUGCGUCUGCCGUGAAAACCCGAGGCUUAACCUCGGGCCUGCGGUGGAUACGGGCAGACUAGAGGUAGGUAGGGGAGAAUGGAAUUCCCGGUGUAGCGGUGAAAUGCGCAGAUAUCGGGAGGAACACCAAUGGCGAAGGCAGCUCGCUGGGACGGUACUGACGCUGAGGCGCGAAAGCGUGGGGAGCGAACAGG
rnacentral:rRNA from 1 species